rnacentral:tRNA from 1 species
GCCGUGGUAGUGUAGUGGUUAACACACCCGAGGUCUUAACACGUGCGCAGUCAUUCGUUGUUACUCAACGCCGUGUCAGUCUAGAUCCGAGGAGGUCGCGGGUUCGAUUCCUGCUCAUGGUG